CCUACGGGAGGCAGCAGUGAGGAAUAUUGGACAAUGGGCGGAAGCCUGAUCCAGCCAUGCCGCGUGCAGGAAGACUGCCCUAUGGGUUGUAAACUGCUUUUGUACAGGAAGAAACCUUUCCACGUGUGGAGAGCUGACGGUACUGUAAGAAUAAGCAUCGGCUAACUCCGUGCCAGCAGCCGCGGUAAUACGGAGGAUGCAAGCGUUAUCCGGAAUCAUUGGGUUUAAAGGGUCCGUAGGUGGAUUGGUCAGUCAGAGGUGAAAUCCUGCAGCUCAACUGUAGAACUGCCUUUGAUACUGCCGGUCUUGAAUUAUUGUGAAGUGGUUAGAAUAUGUAGUGUAGCGGUGAAAUGCAUAGAUAUUACAUAGAAUACCGAUUGCGAAGGCAGAUCACUAACAAUAUAUUGACACUGAUGGACGAAAGCGUGGGGAGCGAACGGGAUUAGAUACCCCGGUAGUCCACGCCGUAAACGAUGGUCACUAGCUGUUCGGACUUCGGUCUGAGUGGCUAAGCGAAAGUGAUAAGUGACCCACCUGGGGAGUACGUUCGCAAGAAUGAAACUCAAAUGAAUUGACGG
rnacentral:rRNA from 1 species